rnacentral:rRNA from 1 species
UACGUAGGGUGCGAGCGUUAAUCGGAAUUACUGGGCGUAAAGCGUGCGCAGGCGGUCUGUUAAGACCGAUGUGAAAUCCCCGGGCUUAACCUGGGAACUGCAUUGGUGACUGGCAGGCUUUGAGUGUGGCAGAGGGAGGUAGAAUUCCACGUGUAGCAGUGAAAUGCGUAGAGAUGUGGAGGAAUACCGAUGGCGAAGGCAGCCUCCUGGGCCAACACCGACGCUCAUGCACGAAGGCCAGGGGAGCAAACGGG